UACGGAGGGUGCGAGCGUUGUCCGGAAUCAUUGGGCGUAAAGGGCGCGUAGGUGGCCACUUCAAGCGUGCGGUGAAAGUCGGGGGCUCAACCCCUGAUCGGCCGUGCGAACUGGGGGGCUGGAGCACUGUAGAGGCAGGCGGAAUUCCGGGUGUAGCGGUGGAAUGCGUAGAGAUCGUAAGGAAGACCAGUGGCGAAGGCGGGUCUCUGGACAGUUCCUGACACUGAGGCACGAAGGCCAGGGGAGCAAACGGG
rnacentral:rRNA from 1 species